rnacentral:lncRNA from 1 species
AAUGCCUCUCUAGUAGUUCGAGAUAGUUCAACACCUAACAAGGAGUGGAUUCACAAAUCAUGCCUAUCAAUAUGCUUUUAAGGACAUUUUGCAAGGCACCAUGGUUCCCCAUAGAGGAUAAAAACAAAUGUUUUGGUGUUAUUACUUUUAUCUUUUAAAAGAUAAGAUAUUAUUACUAAUUGGGGAAACGAAUUGAUUGCACUUUUUUCAAACUCUUUUUAACAAUCUCAUGAUAAGAAACUUUAAAUGCGCUAUUUAUGAAAUCUCUGAAUGUGUAACCAGUGUUAAAACUCAUACUGAAAAAAUUGGAUGCUUUAACCUUCGUAUCCCAUCAUUCUUUUUGGGAUCGUAUGGAAUUAUAAUAUCUCAUUGUACUAAGAUGCUAACAAUCUUGCUAGUCUGUAGAUGAAUUUAUUCCAAGGCCCAAAAAGAGGCUACAAGCCAGGCUUUUAAAUUGACUUAAGAAAAUAGACUGAUGUAACAAAAGUGAACAUGAAGCAGCUACUUCUUGAAUAACAAAAAGGGUCAAACGAAAAAAUUACCAGAACAGACCACUAUCAUAAGAUGUCGCUCGUCUUCCCUUGUUGUUUAAUCCAAUGUCAGGAAAGCUUAUGUCAUCAUCACUGUAAGGAAAGCAAAUGUCAGGUACAGAACAUUGAAGUGAAAAAAGAAAUUGAAUGAGGAAAAAUGAAAUCUUGAGUAAAAAGAGAUAUAAGAG